CUGCAACGUGUACAUGGGAACGCCACGGUGGCGUCGUUCCACAUAUAAAGCGAACAUCGGCUGUGUAGAGAGAGAGAUACUUUGGACUACGACGAACUUUAGAGAAGAGAGUGUGCAGAAGAUCAGGAAAAUGGACAAAGCUGCUCGGGAUAAUCGCGCCAACCAGUUAAAUCCAAAUCAUUACAAGACCGGCCCAGGUCGCCCUUCUGGUUACUUUGGUUAUGGGUCUCAGAGUGAUCGUGACAAUCAUGCUAAUCAGUUAAAUCCAAACAAUUGGCGCUACCAGGGAAAUAGACCAGCUGACAGUGGCAGUUCAGGCUGGUGUGCUAUACUGUGAUGAUUAUCCACUGUGUUGCCAAAUAGUGCAACAAAAUGAAUAUCAAUUAUUCAACAAAUUGUCAUGUGUAAGCAAAUUUGGCUGAACUAUAUUAAAUUCUAAUUUCCUUUUGACAAAUAAAACUUAUUGAGCAUUGUAA